UUACGGCCAUAUCCCGUUGAAACACCAGUUUCUGUAGGCUCACAGAAGUUAAGCAAUAUCGAGCCUAAUCAGUACGUAGAUGCGUGACCGCUUGGGAAUAUCAGAUGCU